CCUUCCUUGUAAGCAGCCUCUUGGCUGAUUGUAACCGUACCUCUCUAAUGCAAUAAAGUCCUAAGUUUCGCGUAAAAAAAAGGUUGUUUCCUAUAGAUCGUUCGGAUCACGGGAUCAGAGGACCCUGAUUACGGUCGUUCCCUUGAUCCCUUCCUUCUUUUGCGGUUUUGCCUAUUCAUCUUCGAGUUCAAUAGUUCCACGAGGCUUCCUCACGAACGAGAACGACUACGCCAGGAGAAUUGUCGCAUUGUCCGGCGCUCGAAUCAUUGGGCACAAAAUAAAAUUAUGGCCAGAUUAGAUUAGAGAGAAGCACCAUCAUGUCAGGCUCAGGUCGGAAAUAUCCAUCCAGCAGUGGUAAAAGAAAAAGGAAGAAUGAGGUAGAGGAGAUGAAAGGGUAAUUGAGACGUUCUCUUCGUAAAUAUUUUAAGAAAGAUACAAGCACUUCAAGAAAUCCAGACGAAUUAGCGAUGACCAAACUAAUGCUACUCAAGGAGAUAAUUGUCCUACUCCAAGAGAAGACGAUGCUGCCAUCAACAUAGAUUAUACCAAUGUGAGUGAUCCUGAGCACAUAUUUAAUUCAUCUACGCCAAAAUCUGCUAGUGUUGAUGAGGAGCCAGUUAUUACUAUGGACAUUUAUUAUACAAGCAAUUCGGGUAAUCUUGAUAAUAAAGUGUGGGACAUAUUAGUGUAUAAGGGGCAUGAAAGGG